UUGAGUUGACACCUCAAACAGUUUUUUAAAUAUUCUUUUGAAUUGUUGCAACUUGUCUAAUCAAAUAAAAGUAGGUUUACAUUUUGCAGCUGAAAAUGCUUUGAACUGUCAGACAAAAGGGAACUUUUUUCUCUUUCUCAAAGACAUUGUAACCCUGCAUCAUUUCAUUCUUGGUAACUAUGGUGAGGGCUAUCAAAAGCAAAGGAAUGUUAAGUAUAUGUGGUCAGCAAAGCUGUGAGGAGAGGUUGCAUUGCUCAGCAGAGCUGCCACAGAAGAAGCAAGCAGGACUUUUACACUAGAUGUAUUUCUCAGACUCCUGGAACAGAUCAUAGCUACCUGGAGAUGGAAAGUGGCUUGGACCAGGUCACUGAAUGGCCUCUGAAAUCAAGGCAGUGUCGCCACCGGUCUGUGAAAAGCGCUGAUCUAAAGGACAGAGUCAAAAGGUCCACCUCUGAUGACUGACGAGCAUGCGCCCGGCGGGCACUGCUGUGAUGUCAUCCUAAAAGCUACCUUGUAGUGCCAUAGCAGAAUUCUCUCAAAAACAAUGCCAUAAGACCAGCAACUCAUUGAAACGUGGUCGGAUGAAUGCAGGCUCAUCAAAACAACGUUUAACGUGAGACAUAUUUUAUUUUAAUUAAAUGUUGUCAUAAGCUAUGCUACAGUAGUCAGUGCCAAUAAGAUCUGCACAACAGCAUGACACCUUUUUUAGCAGCCUUUUUUGCAGGAACACAUAAAGCCACAUUGGAUGAGUUGUGAACCAUACAGAGACAAUGUAAUAUGUUAUAUUAUUUUUUUCAUACUAAUAUAAUAUUUUAGAAAGUUAUUUUUUUAAAAACUACUCUUCACUCUAAAGGCAGAGUGCAGAGAAUUAGAACUAUUCCAACAUUCUGGACCUAACAUUUCAAAUUCGCACAAAGAACAAGUUUGACCUCAUCAAUACUGCAGCUUAGCAUUCUCACUUUUUUAAAAGACAUUUUGCAAAAUGUAAAUGUAAUACUUAAAAUCUCGUUAACAUAGUCUGCUUAGUCUGCUUUAUGUCACCAACAUGUUGUUUUGAAGGAUGUAAUUCAAUGAAUCCAAAGAAAAUUGUGUUUUUGGUGUUGUUAACAUGCUUUUGUAGCAUUUUUCUCAUGAUGGAAGAAAUCUAUAUCAAAAUUGUGUUGCUGAGUAUUUCUUUAUUCAAAUCCCUGUGAAUCUCGAGCAGAUGAAAAACUGGUUGAAGUAAAACCUACAAUCGUUAGGUCGUUGUUUUCCUCGUCUGAGCUAGCAUCUGGCUCCAAACUGUACGGCUGGAUAGCUCCAAUAUUGCAUAUUCGCUUGGGGGGCUGUAAGCUAGCAUAGGAGUGCGAAAACAGGUGGGUGUUGGGAAGUGUGGAUGGGCUGGCUUUGCACCAACAGUCCCACCCACAACUCAGAGGUACAUGUCUAAUGAACUACUGCCGCUCUGCAGAAAAUAUGUCCUAGAAAACGACACAGGUUUUUUG